AUUUUUACAUAUGUAUACUAUAAAUAAUGUGAUAAAAUCUGGUGCUGUAUCAGCAUGAGACACAAUGCACCAUAAAAUGUUAUUUUUUUCCCCCUAACACACACAGGUUGCCAGAAAAAAGGAAUGUGCAAUGGAGAUUAUUAAUAUGGACAUAUCCUAAGAUACGGCAUGCCAUUUGAGAAACUAAAUGAAAUACAUUUUGGCAUGGAAGAUAAUUAAUUGUACCAUGAAUUACUGAGGACAGUUUCAAAAAGCUGUUGUAGGAGCAGUGCUGUAAUGCAUCCUGUCAUGUGAGAAGGCCUGUUCUCUUCUGUCAUUGAAGAUAUUUCAAAAAGGAACUUUGAUUGCAGCUACUGCAAGAAGGUAGGGUAAGAGGCAUACAGAGAAAUCAAAUAAUCUAUCCUGAGAGCAUGCAAGCGCUCUAGAAAUAAAAUCCCAGUGAACCCUGGCUAUAACUCUUUUGAUGUUCUCAUCAGUGGCCACAGUUCUCCAAGGAUUGAUGGGUAGAUGCUGUGGUGAGGUCCAGGCAGCUUUGUGGAAACGUCUCCAAUGGGCUGGUAGGAUGAGAAGAUCCAGGGGUAGUUUGGAAAACGAGGAGAAGCAUCACCUCCCAAGACGGUAAACCUACUGAAAAGACUAUUCAAAUUCCAGAAGGAC
rnacentral:lncRNA from 1 species